AACGAAAGCUGGCGGCAGGCUUAACACAUGCAAGUCGAACGCCCCGCAAGGGGAGUGGCAGACGGGUGAGUAACGCGUGGGAAUCUACCCAUCUCUGCGGAAUAGCUCCGGGAAACUGGAAUUAAUACCGCAUACGCCCUACGGGGGAAAGAUUUAUCGGGGAUGGAUGAGCCCGCGUUGGAUUAGCUUGUUGGUGGGGUAAAGGCCUACCAAGGCGACGAUCCAUAGCUGGUCUGAGAGGAUGAUCAGCCACAUUGGGACUGAGACACGGUCCAAACUCCUACGGGGUGCAGCAGUGGGGAAUAUUGGACAAUGGGCGCAAGCCUGAUCCAGCCAUGCCGCGUGAGUGAUGAAGGCCUUAGGGUUGUAAAGCUCUUUCACCGGUGAAGAUAAUGACGGUAACCGGAGAAGAAGCCCCGGCUAACUUCGUGCCAGCAGCCGCAGUAA
rnacentral:rRNA from 1 species